UUCAAUAUAAUUAAUUUCUGUUUCUGUAGCGGUUUGUUCGGACGUCGAACGCUCGCUCGCUCGUCCGCUAGCUCGCUCGCUUGCUCGAUAGCUGGCUUCGCUUCAGCCUCAGUUUCAAUUGUUGUGUUUCAGUUUCUGUUUUUCGCGUUUCGUUCACACAGUCGUCGAUUUAAUUUUAUUUAUUUUGUUGUUGUCGUGUUUUCGUUUCGGUUUCGUGGCCGCGCGCUUCUCAAAUGAGGAAUCGAAAUCGGCAUAGAAAUCAGAAACAGCAACAGAAACAAAAUCACAAUUCGAUUCGGUAUCAAGAUCGUAAAUGGAAAUCGUAAAUCGUAAAUAGUCCACAAUGAGCUAAUGUAACAGAAGCAACAACAACAAUUAGCAAAUUGCAAACAUUUAUAGUGUGACACUACAACAACAACAAAUACCUCCGCACUGCAACAGCUGUACAAAUAUUAAUUAAAAAA